rnacentral:rRNA from 1 species
AUUGAACGCUGGCGGCAUGCUUUACACAUGCAAGUCGAACGGUAACAGGCCGCAAGGUGCUGACGAGUGGCGAACGGGUGAGUAAUGCAUCGGAACGUGCCCAGUCGUGGGGGAUAACGCAGCGAAAGUUGCGCUAAUACCGCAUACGAUCUAUGGAUGGAAGCGGGGGACCGUAAGGCCUCGCGCGAUUGGAGCGGCCGAUGUCAGAUUAGGUAGUUGGUGGGGUAAAGGCUCACCAAGCCGACGAUCUGUAGCUGGUCUGAGAGGUCGACCAGCCACACUGGGACUGAGAAACGGCCCAGACUCCUACGGGAGGCAGCAGUGGGGAGUUUUGGACAAUGGGCGCAAGCCUGAUCCAGCAAUGCCGCGUGCAGGAAGAAGGCCUUCGGGUUGUAAACUGCUUUUGUACGGAACGAAACGGUCCUGGUUAAUACCCGGGGCUAAUGACGGUACCGUAAGAAUAAGCACCGGCUAACUACGUGCCAGCCGCCGCCGUAAUAC